rnacentral:sRNA from 1 species
UUUUUUUUAUGUUUUUUU